rnacentral:rRNA from 1 species
UUCCGGUUGAUCCUGCCGGAGGCUACCGCUAUUGGAGUCCGAUUAAGACAUGCGAGUCGAGAGCUUUCGGAGCUCGGCAUACUGCUCAGUAACACGUGGGUAACCUGCCCUGUGCUGGGGGAUAACCUCGGGAAACUGAGAACAAUACCCCAUAGUCCACUACGCCUGGAACGGUGAGUGGAUGAAAGCCCCGGCGGCACAGGAUGGGCCUGCGGCGUAUCAGGUAGUAGGGGGUGUAAAGUACCCUCUAGCCUUCGACGCGUACGGGUUGUGAGAGCAAUAGCCCGGAGAUGGAUUCUGAGACAAGAAUCCAGGUCCUACGGGACGCAGCAGUCGCGAAACCUUGACAAUGCGGGAAACCGUGAUCAGGGGACUCCAAGUGCCAGGAGUAAGAUCCUGUGCUUUUCUUUUCUCUUCAAAGGAUUUGGAAUAAGAGGUGGGUAAGGACGGUGCCAGCCGCCGCGGUAAUACCGGCGCCUCGAGUGGUAGUCGAUUUUAUUGGGCCUAAAACGUCCGUCGCCGGUCUGGUGCAUUCGUGGGUAAAUCAACCCGCUCAACGGGUUGAAUUCUGCGAGCACGGCCAGACUAGGGACCGGGAGAGGUGUGGGGUACGCUCGGGGUAGGGGUAAAAUCCUGUCAUCCCGAGCGGACCACCUGUUGCGAAGGCUCCACACUAGAACGGAUCCGACGGUCAGGGACGAAGCCUAGGGGCACGAACCGGAUUAGAUACCCGGGUAGUCCUAGGUGUAAACGCUGUGGACUUGGUGUCGGGAGCUCCCAGAGGGCUCUCAGUGCCGUAGCGAAGGUGAUAAGUCCACUGCCUGGGGAGUACGGUCGCAAGGCUGAAACUUAAAGGAAUUGGCGGGGGAACACCGCAACCUGAGGAUUGUGCGGUUUAAUUGGAGUCAACGCCUGGA